AUUGAACGCUGGCGGCAGGCCUAACACAUGCAAGUCGAGCGAGCGGCGGCCGGGUGAGUAAUGUAUGGGAAUCUGCCUGAUGGAGGGGGAUAACUACUGGAAACGGUAGCUACUACCGCAUACCAUCAGAUGAACCCAUAUGGGAUUAGCUGGUAGGUAAGGUAACGGCUUACCUAGGCUACGAUCCCUAGCUGGUCUGAGAGGAUGCUCGGCCACAUUGGGACUGAGACACGGCCCAGACUCCUACGGGAGGCAGAAGUGGGUAAUAUUGCACAAUGGGCGCAAGCCUGAUGCAGCCAUGCCGCGUGGAUGAAGAAGGCCUUCGGGUUGUAAAGUACUUUCAGUCGGGAGGCGUGACCGACAGAAGAAGCACCGGCUAACUCCGUGCCAGCCGCCGCGGUAAUUC
rnacentral:rRNA from 1 species